UACGAAGGGGGCUAGCGUUGCUCGGAAUUACUGGGCGUAAAGCGCACGUAGGCGGGUUGUUAAGUCGGGGGUGAAAUCCUGGAGCUCAACUCCAGAACUGCCUUCGAAACUGACGAUCUUGAGUUCGGGAGAGGUGAGUGGAACUGCGAGUGUAGAGGUGAAAUUCGUAGAUAUCGGGAGGAACACCGGUGGCGAAGGCGGCGACCUGGGUAGAUACUGACGCUGAGGCGCGAAAGCGUGGGGAGCAAACAGG
rnacentral:rRNA from 1 species